CUACGGGGCGCACCAGUGGGGAAUCUUGCACAAUGGAGGAAACUCUGAUGCAGCGAUGCCGCGUGAGUGAAGAAGGCCCUUGGGUUGUAAAGCUCUUUUGUCGGGAAAGAUAAUGACCGUACCCGAAGAAUAAGGUCCGGCUAACUUCGUGCCAGCAUCCGCGGUAAUACGAAGGGACCUAGCGUAAUUCGGAAUUACUGGGCGUAAAGCGCGCGUAGGCGGUUAAGUAAGUUAAUUGUGAAAGCACAAAGCUCAACUUUGGAAUUGCAAUUAAAACUACUUAGCUAGAGUUUAUCAGAGGAAAGCGGAAUACAUAGUGUAGAGGUGAAAUUCGUAGAUAUUAUGUAGAACACCAGUUGCGAAGGCGGCUUUCUGGGAUAACACUGACGCUGAGGUGCGAAAGUAUGGGUAGCGAAGAGGAUUAGAUACCCGCGUAGUC
rnacentral:rRNA from 1 species